AUUAAGUACGGAAGGUUAGCUGUUUGUAUUAAGUACUUGGAGAUUUCAGCUACAGUUAAACAGUCCUGAAGCUGAUUAACCGAUUCUGAGUACAAAUGCCCAAUGCCAAAAUGAUAGGGAAUGCUCAAUCUCUUCACAGUACUGUCUUCGGCGUGGAGAAUCAAAAGCACUCACGUCAGCUUCCCGAGCGUCGCGUGGGCGAAUUAAAUAAAGCAUUUUUGAGUUUUUGUGGAUUCGUUUGCGCGGAAAUCUUCAAGUACGAUCACAAAGCCGGUCCUGAUGGCUAUUUUACUUUCUGGAGUAAAAAUUCCAAAUUUGUUUAUCACGAAGUGUGCAUGGUUACUUCCUGGUUAUUUUCGUCCGCACUUUUAGCCAUAGCCUUAUUUUCGCUGGAUAAAUGGUUCGGAAUGCACCCAAAAGUCAUGGCCAACAUGAUCUUGAUCCACUCAUCUUUCUGGGCAUUUUUGAUCUUGAUAUCGUCUUCUUAUGCGGCCAGUAUCGGAUACAUUUAUAAUUUAACGGUAUCGCCUCUGGAUUUUAGUGCCACAUUCGGCUUCCUUGAACUGCUCUCUUUGUUAGGAUUGGUCAUCUACAUAUGCAUUCCGUCAAUACUGUACAAGUCCAAUCCGGCAAUGGCUGUUUUUUGAUACAAUAAUCAUAUCCUAUAUAUGCUCGAGAUCUAGUUUGCUACGCCCUGAUUCUGGGGUUUAAUUAACUUUUAUGGACAAAGCCAGACGACGUUAGAAACCCGUUAACUGGCAUUUUUUACAACAGUGAGAUUACUACGCUAGUACGCUCAAAUUUGUGCAUUUUGAAGACAAGUCUAUCUAGUUUAGUAAUGAGAUCACAGUCACCCAGAUCAUGUCUUAAAAGUGGUGAUAAGAUCAAAUCAGGAAAUUACUCACCGAAUGUCGGCAUAUCGCUUGAUAUGUACGCAGAUUAGAUUAGUAAUUAUUAUGGUUGACAUGUUCGAUAAAUGUUCAUGAAAACUUCGUACCGAGCAAGACUCAAACUUAAGAAUCACCAUGCGGACCAGGAAGUCAAUAUGAUUAACCUAAGAGCGACGAAAAAAGAGUAAAUACGUUUCCUUAUCGUUCCUGCAGUGAUAAGGGCAUAUAGCAUACAGUCAGUAUUAUCCACCUGGGAACCUAAUAAUCUGAAACUAUAACUGCCGUUAGCGCAGUCUCUUUGGGAAGCAGCGAGACUGUAUAGAUUCUUCUGGAAUCUGGAUAAAUUUUACUUCGAAAAUGAUGGCCGACGUGGACUCCAAAAAUUCGACGAUAAAUCCGGGCUACACAAUUUCUGCGCCUCCGUCAACCACAGAAACACGGCAGGUUGGAACAAUCAAUAGGCGAUUCAUCCAGUCUCCCGCGGGAAUUCUAACAAUAGUGGCAGAGAUUCUUGCCUUCUGUGGACUUAUCAGUACCGAAGCGCUGAAAACGCAGAACUGGUGGGUUGCUGGCUGGCACAGCUUUAUCUUCCAUGAAUUCUGCGUAGUUACUUCCUGGUUGUUCGUGGCCAUCUUCAUAGCCGCUGCUGUCUUCUCAUUGGAUAAAUUCUUUAAUAUCAAAUCCACCGUGAUGGCGUACAUACUAAUAGUUCAUUCUGCAUUUUGGACUUUCUUCUUACUGGUAUCUUCUUCGUGCAUGGCCACCAAUACUCGGUACAUCGGCUACGGAUAUUCCGCCGCGCAAGCUAGCACGGCGUUUGGUUUUCUGGAAAUGCUUAGUCUCCUUGGAGUGGUAGUUUCCAUCUUCGCUCCUCCAUUCUUUGGCCGACAAAACACUAGCAUUUUUUGACUUUGAAAAUUAACUGCAUAGCAUACCUGAACCGAAAGAGCUGUGUUUCGCCGCUAUCUUGACUGGGUCACGAGAACAAAACAAGUCAGUACAACCAAA